rnacentral:tRNA from 1 species
GCCGGGAUGGCGGAAUUAGCAGACGCACGGGACUCAAAAUCCCGCGAUGGCAACAUCGUGAGAGUGCAAGUCUCUCUCCCGGCA